UAGGGAAUAUUAGUAAUGGGCGCAAGCCUGAACUAGCAACGCCGCGUGUGCGAAGAAGGCCUUCGGGUUGUAAAGCACUUUUUGAGAGGAUGAGGAAGGACGGUACUCUCAGAAUAAGUCUCGGCUAACUACGUGCCAGCAGCCGCGGUAACACGUAGGAGGCGAACGUUAUCCGGAUUUACUGGGCGUAAAGCGCGUGUAGGUGGUUUGGUAAGUAGGGCGUGAAAGCUCCUGGCUCAACUGGGAGAGGCCGUUCUAAACUGCCGAACUAGAGGAUGGUAGAGGGGGGUGGAAUGCCGAGUGUAGCGGUGGAAUGCGCAGAUAUCCGGAGGAACACCAGUGGCGAGAGCGGCCUCCUGGACCAUUCCUGACACUCAGACGCGAAAGCUAGGGUAG
rnacentral:rRNA from 1 species